GAUCAUUACCAACAGGAUCGCGAGGCGCCUGGGAGGGGUAGGAUCCCUAACUCGCCCGACCGGUCGGACCCGUGCCCACACAACGCGAGAGCUUCUCUCGAGGGGGGCGUUGGCGGCUCUUGACCGGCCGCCUGCCUAUAGACGGGGCCUUCCCUUUGGGUGGGGCUUCUCCCGACGUCCUUGUUUUCCACAACCUUCACCCUUGAUUACCUUAGCCUUUGUUGCCUCGGCGGGCCCGCCCGCCAGAGGACACAACCUAAACUACUGUUGUAAACGGCGAAGUCUGAGCUAUAAAGCAAUUGUUUAAAACUUUCAACAACGGAUCUCUUGGUUCUGGCAUCGAUGAAGAACGCAGCGAAAUGCGAUAAGUAGUGUGAAUUGCAGAAUUCAGUGAAUCAUCGAAUCUUUGAACGCACAUUGCGCCCUUUGGCAUCCCGAAGGGCAUGCCUGUUCGAGCGUCAUUUCACCAAUCAAGCCUGGCUUGGUGUUGGGUGCCGUCCCGCCCCCCGUGCGCGGACGCUCCCUAAAAUCAUCGGCGGUGCAGCACCGGCUUCGAGCGCAGCAGAUGUUCGCUCUGUGGGCCCGGUGUGGCAGCGGCCGCGACGACAACCUCUAGGUUGACCUCGGAUCAGGUAGGGAUACCCGCUGAACUUAAGCAUAUCAAUAA
rnacentral:misc_RNA from 1 species